GACGAACGCUGGCGGCGUGCUUAACACAUGCAAGUCGAACGGAAAGGCCCUGCUUUUGUGGGGUGCUCGAGUGGCGAACGGGUGAGUAACACGUGAGUAACCUGCCCUUGACUUUGGGAUAACUUCAGGAAACUGGGGCUAAUACCGGAUAGGAGCUCCUGCUGCAUGGUGGGGGUUGGAAAGUUUCGGCGGUUGGGGAUGGACUCGCGGCUUAUCAGCUUGUUGGUGGGGUAGUGGCUUACCAAGGCUUUGACGGGUAGCCGGCCUGAGAGGGUGACCGGCCACAUGGGGACUGAGAUACGGCCCAGCCCCCUCGGGGGGGCAGGGGGGGGGAAUAUUGCACAAGGGGCGGAAGCCUGAUGCAGCAACCCCGGGGGCGGGAUGACGGCCUUCGGGUUGUAAACCGCUUUCGCCUGUGACGAAGCGGGGGUGACGGUAAUGGGUAAAGAAGCCCCGGCUAACUACGU
rnacentral:rRNA from 1 species